UACGUAGGGUGCGAGCGUUGUCCGGAAUUAUUGGGCGUAAAGAGCUUGUAGGCGGUCUGUCGCGUCUGCUGUGAAAAUCCGGAGCUCAACCCCGGACUUGCAGUGGGUACGGGCAGACUAGAGUGUGGUAGGGGAGACUGGAAUUCCUGGUGUAGCGGUGAAAUGCGCAGAUAUCAGGAGGAACACCGGUGGCGAAGGCGGGUCUCUGGGCCGUAACUGACGCUGAGGAGCGAAAGCGUGGGGAGCGAACAGG
rnacentral:rRNA from 1 species